GCAUCAGUAGUCCAGUGGAAGGACGCUCGCUUAGGGAUCGAGAGGUCCUGGGUUCGAACCCCACCAGGGGCA